rnacentral:rRNA from 1 species
UACGUAGGGCGCAAGCGUUGUCCGGAAUUAUUGGGCGUAAAGAGCUCGUAGGCGGCUUGUCACGUCGGAUGUGAAAGCCCGGGGCUUAACCCCGGGUCUGCAUUCGAUACGGGCUGGCUAGAGGUAGGUAGGGGAGAACGGAAUUCCUGGUGUAGCGGUGAAAUGCGCAGAUAUCAGGAGGAACACCGGUGGCGAAGGCGGGUCUCUGGGCCGUAACUGACGCUGAGGAGCGAAAGCAUGGGGAGCGAACAGG